rnacentral:lncRNA from 10 species
GGCCGUACCAUGGCGGAGAAGACUCAAAAGAGUGUGAAGAUUGCUCCUGGAGCAGUUGUAUGUGUAGAAAGUGAAAUCAGAGGAGAUGUAACUAUCGCUGGGCAUGGUGGUGCAUGCCUGUAAUCCCAGCUACUCGGGAGGCUGAGGCAGGACAAUUGCUUGAACCUGGGAGGCAGAGGUUGCGGUGAGCCGAGAUCGCGCCGUUGCACUCCAGCCUGGGCAACAAGAGCGAAACUCCUUCUCAGAAAAAAAAAAAAAGAAAAAAGAAAAAAGAAUUUGCCAGGACCUCGGACAGUGAUCCACCCUAAAGCAAGAAUUAUUGCGGAAGCCGGGCCAAUAGUGAUUGGCGAAGGGAACCUAAUAGAAGAACAGGCCCUUAUCAUAAAUGCUUACCCAGAUAAUAUCACUCCUGACACUGAAGAUCCAGAACCAAAACCUAUGAUCAUUGGCACCAAUAAUGUGUUUGAAGUUGGCUGUUAUUCCCAAGCCAUGAAGAUGGGAGAUAAUAAUGUCAUUGAAUCAAAAGCAUAUGUAGGCAGA